GUGUUGUGUGAAAGGAGAAGUUAGCAUUCACCUUGAUAAGGAUGAAAAAGGCCCUCAGCCCUGAAACCAUACAGUUUGGAAUAUGUACAAUUAAGGCAUUGCCACCUAGUUGUGUCACCUUAGCCAUCAUUUUUU
ensembl:snRNA